GAUCUUUCCAUUUGGUUCUGUUGUUCUAGUUCUACUUCCACCCUGCAUCUGCAUGGAGGUCCCUAUAAAAGAUGAUUCUAUAGCAGAGACCAAACUCCCUAAGAAAAAUUCAAAUUAGCAAUUUGGUUGGUCAUAAUUAAUACUAUUCUAGUAAUCCCUUCAACAGCAGGCCACUACCCUUUUUACUUCUGGCAGAAAUCAGAGAGGUAUGGAAGUUUAUUUAAGUCACAUAUCUUCGGGUGUCCUACCAUUAUUUCCAUGGAUCCAGAGCUCAACAGAUACAUCCUAUUGAAUGAAGGAAAAGGACUUGUUCCUGGCUACCCCCAGUCCAUGCUAGAUAUACUAGGGAAAUGCAACAUUGCUGCUGUGCAUGGUUCUACUCACAAAUACAUUAGAGGGUCAUUGCUAUCCCUCAUUGGCCCUUCCAUGAUCAAGGAUCAGCUUUUGCCGAAAAUCGACCAGUCCAUCAGGUCUUUUCUUUGCAAUUGGCAAGGCAAAAACAUUGAUAUCCAAGAAAGAACCACUGAGAUGGCAUUGUUCAUAUCCUUCAAGCAGAUCCUUGAAACAGAAUCGAAUUCGAUUUAUGAGAUUUUCAAACCAGAGUUUGACAAGCUAGUGGCAGGGGCAUUGUCACUACCCAUAAACAUUCCAGGCUCAAAUUAUCAUUAUGGUUUCCAGGGAAGAAAAAGAGUCAUUAAAAUCUUGAGGCAAAUUAUUAAGGAGAGAAGAGCUUCUUCAAUAACCCAUAAUGAUAUUCUUGGUCACCUUCUAAGAAAUGAAGGCUCAAAAUACCAUUUGAAUGAUAAGGAGAUACUUGAUCAGGUUAUUACAAUUAUGUAUUCAGGUUAUGAAACUGUAUCAACUACUUCAAUGAUGGCCAUCAAGUAUCUACAUGACCACCCUAUUGCUCUUCAACAAAUUAGAGUGAGUGAGAUUAAUCUUCUAAUCUUCAGGUUUCAAAUUUCAAUGGCUUAGUUUAUUGUACUUAUUCCUGAAAAUGUACUUGGAUUAAAAUAAUUAGGAAGAGCAUUUAGCGAUUCGCGACAGGAAAAAACCAGGGGAUAACAUUGACUGGGAUAACUACAAAUCCAUGAGUUUUACUCGUGCUGUAAGUAGUUCAAAAUGAUCAAAGCUUUCAAUGCAGGAAGUCUCGUGCAUUGUUGACACCCUUCUAUUAGAAAUAAACAUUUUUUUUAAAUUGCAGGUGAUUUUUGAAACAUCAAGAUUGGCUACAAUUGUAAAUGGGGUACUAAGAAAGACAACAAAAGAUAUUGAACUGAAUGGGUUUAUCAUUCCAAAAGGAUGGAGAAUAUAUGUUUAUACAAGGGAGAUUAACUAUGAUCCAUUGCUCUAUCGAGAGCCUUUAACUUUCAAU
rnacentral:misc_RNA from 1 species